rnacentral:lncRNA from 1 species
AAGACCCUCCACCGGUGAUCUUCGAGCCCGAUUUCUCUCCUUUUCUCCGUAGAGGCUGCGGCAACCUCUUCUCGUGUUCGUCGGAAAUUGAAGGUCGAAGAGGUCAUCGGAGUUCAGGUAAGGGUUCAAUCUUUCUUCCUCUCCCUCUUCCCUUUCUUCCCAUGUUUUUAAACUCCUCGCCGGCCGUCAGGAUCGUCGGAAAAUUCUUGAAAAUAGUG